GAUGAACGCUGGCGGCGUGCUUAACACAUGCAAGUCGAACGAAGCAUUUGCGACAGAUUUUUUCGGAAUGAAGUUGCUUAUGACUGAGUGGCGGACGGGUGAGUAACGCGUGGGUAACCUGCCUUGUACUGGGGGAUAGCAGCUGGAAACGGCUGGUAAUACCGCAUAAGCGCACAAUGUUGCAUGACAUGGUGUGAAAAACUCCGGUGGUAUAAGAUGGACCCGCGUCUGAUUAGCUAGUUGGUGAGAUAACAGCCCACCAAGGCGACGAUCAGUAGCCGACCUGAGAGGGUGACCGGCCACAUUGGGACUGAGACACGGCCCAGACUCCUACGGGAGGCAGCAGUGGGGAAUAUUGCACAAUGGAGGAAACUCUGAUGCAGCGACGCCGCGUGAGUGAAGAAGUAAUUCGUUAUGUAAAGCUCUAUCAGCAGGGAAGAUAGUGACGGUACCUGACUAAGAGGCUCCGGCUAAAUACGUG
rnacentral:rRNA from 1 species